rnacentral:tRNA from 1 species
GGCCAGUUAGCUCAGUCGGUUAGAGCGUGGUGCUGAUAACACCAAGGUUGCUGGUUCGAUCCCUGUUCGGACCC